UUCUCAAUAUUUAUUUAAUAAGAAGCUAUAAGUAGCGAUCGUCAUCAGGUAUCUAUAAUAACGACCGGGACCUAUAGCUUAACGUGCUCUCCGGGGUAAUUUGGGGAGACCCACAAGGAAGAUCUGGUGUCUUGGUGGUCCAAGACAUCCAGACCGGAAAUAAAUUUUUGUACAAUUACAAAUAUCCAAAUCCUAAACCUAUCUAAGUAAGACCGUUUACCCAUCAGGUACAAUAAUGGGCGCAAACGACAACGCCACUUGCUAUGCCUGCGGACCCGAGUGCGCCCAUGCGUGCGGCACCAAAAGGUUCAGAUUCUGUUGCUAUAACUAUUACAGGAGAAAUUCACGUGGAAUUAAGCUGCAGGAUCUAGAUCAAGAUUAGUCACACAGAAGAACAACGACGACCACGGACGAACCAGGACUCCUGUAUGCCUUCUCGUAAUAUUGAAAUCAUAUAAAAAUGUGUUAAAAA